rnacentral:rRNA from 1 species
GAUGAACGCUGGCGGCGUGCCUAAUACAUGCAAGUCGUACGGAAAGGCCCUUCGGGGUACUCGAGUGGCGGACGGCUGAGUAACGCGUGGGAACGUGCCCCAAAGUGAGGGAUAACGCACCGAAAGGUGUGCUAAUACCGCAUAUGGUCUUCGGAUUAAAGCUUCGGCGCUUUGGGAGCGGCCCGCGUACGAUUAGAUAGUUGGUGAGGUAAUGGCUCACCAAGUCGACGAUCGUUAGCUGGCCUGAGAGGAUGAUCAGCCAGACUGGGACUGAGACACGGCCCAGACUCCUACGGGAGGCAGCAGUAAGGAAUCUUCCACAAUGGGGGCAACCCUGAUGGAGCAACGCCGCGUGCAGGAUGAAGGUUUUCGGAUCGUAAACUGCCUUUAUAAGUGAAGAAUAUGACGGUAACUUAUGAAUAAGGAUCGGCUAACUACGUGCCAGCCGCCGCAGUAA